rnacentral:rRNA from 1 species
UACGUAGGGGGCAAGCGUUGUCCGGAUUUAUUGGGCGUAAAGAGCGUGUAGGCGGCCAGACAGGUCAGCUGUGAAAACUCGAGGCUCAACCUCGAGACGUCGGUUGAAACCGUCUGGCUAGAGUCCGGAAGAGGAGAGUGGAAUUCCCGGUGUAGCGGUGAAAUGCGCAGAUAUCGGGAAGAACACCCGUGGCGAAGGCGGCUCUCUGGGACGGUACUGACGCUGAGGCACGAAAGCGUGGGGAGCAAACAGG